rnacentral:rRNA from 1 species
CCUACGGGAGGCAGCAGUGGGGAAUAUUGGGCAUUGGAGGCAACUCUGACCCAGCAACGCCGCGUGAAUGAUGAAGGUCUUCGGAUUGUAAAGUUCUGUGAUGGGGGAUGAACACAAUGACGGUACCCCAAUAGCAAGCCACGGCUAACUACGUGCCAUCAGCCGCGGUAAUACGUAGGUGGCAAGCGUUAUCCGGAAUGACUGGGCGUAAAGGGUGCGUAGGUGGUUUAGUAAGUUGGCGGUGUAAUUCCGGGGCUCAACCUCGGCGCUACCGCCAAAACUAUUAGACUAGAGUGCAGGAGGGGUAAGUGGAAUGCCUAGUGUAGCGGUGAAAUGCGUAGAUAUUAGGAGGAACACCAGUGGCGAAGGCGGUCUGCUGGACAGCAACUGACGCUGAGGCGCGAAAGCGUGGGGAGCAAACAGGAUUAGAUACCCUUGUAGUC